rnacentral:rRNA from 1 species
UACGUAGGGUGCAGGCGUUAAUCGGAAUUACUGGGCGUAAAGCGUACGCAGGCGGUUUGCUAAGACAGGUGUGAAAUCCCCGGGCUUAACCUGGGAACUGCGCUUGUUACUGGCAAGCUAGAGUGUGGCAGAGGGGGGUAGAAUUCCAGGUGUAGCUGUGAAAUGCGUAGAUAUCUGGAGGAAUACCGAUGGCGAAGGCAGCCCCCUGGGUUAACACUGACGCUCAUGUACGAAAGCGUGGGGAGCAAACAGG